GGGGGCGUAGUUUAACGUUCAAAACGCCAUCCUUGCCAGUUGCGUAAUGCGGGUUCAAGUCCCGUCGCCCCCA
rnacentral:tRNA from 1 species